UACGAAGGGGGCCAGCGUUGCUCGGAAUUACUGGGCGUAAAGCGCACGUAGGCGGUCUUUUAAGUCGGGGGUGAAAUCCUGGAGCUCAACUCCAGAACUGCCUUCGAUACUGGAAGACUUGAGUCCGGGAGAGGUGAGUGGAACUGCGAGUGUAGAGGUGAAAUUCGUAGAUAUUCGCAAGAACACCAGUGGCGAAGGCGGCUCACUGGCCCGGUACUGACGCUGAGGUGCGAAAGCGUGGGGAGCAAACAGGGAUUAAGAAACCCGGGUGAGUACCCAGGAACCUAACGUC
rnacentral:rRNA from 1 species